rnacentral:rRNA from 1 species
UAAACUAGGAUUAGAUACCCUAUUAUUAUAAAUGUAAAUUUAAAAUACUUAAUUAGUAUUAGUUAUUUUCUUGAAAAUUAAAAAAUUUGGCGGUAUUUUAGUCUUUUCAGAGGAACCUGUCCUGUAAUUGAUAAUCCACGAUUAUAUAUACUUUAAUUUUUAGUUUACAUAUCGUUGUAGAUUGAAUAUUUUAAUAGAAUUUGAAUAUUCAAGAUUUUUUAUUAGAAAAUAAAUCAGAUCAAGGUGUAGCUUAUAUUUAAGAAGAGGUGGGUUACAUUAAAAUUAUUUUAGGAUAUUUUUUUUAAAAAGAAAUUGAAUUUGGAUUUGAUAGUAAUUUAAUAUAUUUAUUUAAAAUGAUUAUAGCUCUAAAAUAUGCACACAUCGCCCGUCGCUCUUAA